rnacentral:rRNA from 1 species
AGAGUCUGAUCUCGUUGGUGACCAGCGGAGGGUCAUUACAGAGUUAUCCAACUCCCAAACCCAUGUGAACAUAUCUCUUUGUUGCCUCGGCGCAAGCUACCCGGGACCUCGCGCCCCGGGCGGCCCGCCGGCGGACAAACCAAACUCUGUUAUCUUCGUUGAUUAUCUGAGUGUCUUAUUUAAUAAGUCAAAACUUUCAACAACGGAUCUCUUGGUUCUGGCAUCGAUGAAGAACGCAGCGAAAUGCGAUAAGUAAUGUGAAUUGCAGAAUUCAGUGAAUCAUCGAAUCUUUGAACGCACAUUGCGCCCAUUAGUAUUCUAGUGGGCAUGCCUGUUCGAGCGUCAUUUCAACCCCUAAGCACAGCUUAUUGUUGGGCGUCUACGUCUGUAGUGCCUCAAAGACAUUGGCGGAGCGGCAGCAGUCCUCUGAGCGUAGUAAUUCUUUAUCUCGCUUCUGUUAGGCGCUGCCCCCCCGGCCGUAAAACCCCCAAUUUUUUCUGGUUGACCUCGGAUCAGGUAGGAAUACCCGCUGAACUUAAGCAUAUCAAAAGGCGGGAGGAA